rnacentral:rRNA from 1 species
UACGAAGGGGGCUAGCGUUGCUCGGAAUUACUGGGCGUAAAGCGCACGUAGGCGGCUUUCUAAGUCGGGGGUGAAAUCCUGGAGCUCAACUCCAGAACUGCCUUCGAUACUGGGAGUCUCGAGUUCGGGAGAGGUGAGUGGAACUGCGAGUGUAGAGGUGAAAUUCGUAGAUAUUCGCAAGAGCACCAGUGGCGAAGGCGGCUCACUGGCCCGAUACUGACGCUGAGGUGCGAAAGCGUGGGGAGCAAACAGG